UACGUAGGGGGCAAGCGUUAUCCGGAAUUAUUGGGCGUAAAGAGUGCGUAGGUGGUUUUGUAAGCGCGGGGUGAAAGGCAAUGGCUCAACCAUUGUAAGCCUUGCGAACUGUAAGACUUGAGUGCAGGAGAGGAAAGCGGAAUUCCUAGUGUAGCGGUGAAAUGCGUAGAUAUUAGGAGGAACACCAGUGGCGAAGGCGGCUUUCUGGACUGUAACUGACACUGAGGCACGAAAGCGUGGGGAGCAAACAGGAUUAGAUACCCUGGUAGUCCACGCCGUAAACGAUGAGCACUAGGUGUCGGGGCCGCAAGGUUUCGGUGCCGCAGUUAACGCAUUAAGUGCUCCGCCUGGGGAGUACGCACGCAAGUGUGAA
rnacentral:rRNA from 1 species